rnacentral:lncRNA from 1 species
CGCCAGGCCGCCUGCCGGUGCCUCAAGACCCUCGCCGGCACCAUCAAGUCUCUCAACCUCGGCGCCGCCGCCGGCAUCCCCGGCAAGUGCGGCGUCAACGUCGGCUUCCCCAUCAGCCUCUCCACUGACUGCAGCAAGUAAAAAUAUAUACUAUCAUCCAUGCAUGUUACUUUUUUCAGGUUAAUUCAACUUAAUUUACUGACUAAUCCACUGUAUAUAUGCAUGAUUAUUUCAUUGGUGCAGGGUCAGCUAGAUCGAUUAAUCCUGCGUAGACCGACCGAUCGAUAUAUCGAUCGAUGCUGGCUCGCAGUUGAUCAACUAGCCAAAAUAAUAGCUACAGUAAAAAUAACAGCUGGGGCAUAUCAUUCAGCGCUGGUCAUCUCUCUCUGUAUCUCUGUAUACUUUAUGUUGCACGCUCCGUGCGUGCAUCAGCAUGCUAUCUUAAUUUUCUUGAGUCUGUACACUGCUCUGUGUACGUGUAAUCCUACGUUGAUGAAUUGCAUCUUGUCCAGACUUGGACCUAGCUAGCUACGUACUCCAGCUUCUUGUUGCUGAGGCAAUCUGUAGUAAUUUCCUUGUUACAUUAUUCCCCUGUCCCCUCUACUCCCUCCGUCCCAUAAAAAAUAAACCUAAUAUACUAAAUAUGACACAUAUAUUCUAUUACUACAAUACGUACAUACGUAUAUUUAGAUUUAUUGUACUAGAAUAUGUCACAUCCAGUCUUAUGUUCGUUUUUUUGGACGGAGAGUAUGUCAUAUGCAAAAAUUGGUAAAUGCAUAUCAUGCUCCCUAGCUCUGCACUUUAUUAUUAUUUUUAAUUUACAUGACAGCUUUACACACAUACACACCACUAUACAAACAACACCACACUCGUACCUCCGCGAAUGCGUCCUCUAACACAUGUUCCAAGAGACGAAAACCAACAGCACAUCCCUGAUGUCACUAAAGUCAUAUUGAAA